GUCAGUGUGGUGUAGUGGUUUGGGUGUUGGACUAUGACUCUGGAGACCAGGGCUCAAUUCUCAGCUCAGCCA